GACGCAGCGACGCCGCGUGAGGGAUGAGGCCUUCGGGUUGUAAACCGCUUUCAGCAGGGAAGAAGCGAAAGUGACGGUACCUGCAGAAGAAGCACCGGCUAACUAUGUGCCAGCAGCCGCGGUAAUACAUAGGGUGCAAGCGUUGUCCGGAAUUAUUGGGCGUAAAGAGCUCGUAGGUGGUUCGUCACGUCGGAUGUGAAACUCUGGGGCUUAACCCCAGACCUGCAUUCGAUACGGGCGAGCUUGAGUAUGGUAGGGGAGUCUGGAAUUCCUGGUGUAGCGGUGGAAUGCGCAGAUAUCAGGAGGAACACCAAUGGCGAAGGCAGGACUCUGGGCCAUUACUGACACUGAGGAGCGAAAGCGUGGGGAGCGAACAGGAUUAGAUACCCUGGUAGUCCACGCCGUAAACGGUGGGCACUAGUUGUGGGGACCUUCCACGGUCUCUGCGACGCAGCUAACGCAUUAAGUGCCCCGCCUGGGGAGUACGAUCGCAAGAUUAAAACU
rnacentral:rRNA from 1 species